rnacentral:rRNA from 1 species
UGGGGAAUAUUGGACAAUGGGCGAAAGCCUGAUCCAGCAAUGCCGCGUGAGUGAUGAAGGCCUUCGGGUCGUAAAGCUCUUUUACCCGGGAUGAUAAUGACAGUACCGGGAGAAUAAGCUCCGGCUAACUCCGUGCCAGCAGCCGCGGUAAUACGGAGGGAGCUAGCGUUGUUCGGAAUUACUGGGCGUAAAGCGCACGUAGGCGGCUACACAAGUCAGGGGUGAAAGCCCGGGGCUCAACCCCGGAACUGCCUUUGAAACUGGGUGGCUAGAAUCUUGGAGAGGCGAGUGGAAUUCCGAGUGUAGAGGUGAAAUUCGUAGAUAUUCGGAAGAACACCAGUGGCGAAGGCGACUCGCUGGACAAGUAUUGACGCUGAGGUGCGAAAGCGUGGGGAGCAAACAGG